UUGGGAUUUGAACACGUUCAAUUGUUAAACCCUAUGGAUCUUGGAAAAAAUUAUGAAUCACAAAAAAAUAAAUAAAUAAAAUAAAAUAAAAUAAAAUUGAAAGAACACACAAAUAUACAAGGUUCAGCAACAUGGCCAAGUCCUCGGUAGCAGCACCAAUUCAUUAUAUUGAUUAUACAAUUAUAAUCACUCUUCCUUGCUAUUUUAUUCUCUAAAAACUACAGGAGCCUCUCUUUUUCUCUAAUCCUAAAAACGUGAACAAUGUUACAUUGUAUAGGGUAAAGCUUGUAGGUCCAAAACUAAAAAUACAUGACCCCAAAAAAUUGGACGGCUUGAAUUUUCUACUGAAGGUUGUCUGCAUAUCCAACACAUAACGACACUGUCUAAUCCACAAAGUACACAGGAGAGAGCUGCCUCCAAGAUAUAAAACUCACGCAUACCACGUGGUGCAAAAGAUACCCAGUUGGUUUAAGUAAGUUUUAUUUUGUCAGUAAGUCUGGUCUGGAAUUUCUUGAUUACAUAUUGAUAUUUUUAAAUAGUGUUUUGAGUAAAAUUUAUUAUUACUAUUAUUAUUCAUGAUUAAAAGUGCAAUCAAACAGAAUCUACAUGAGAAAUGAAAUACUAUUUUCGAAAAGGUGGCAUGGGAAUCCCUUUAUCCUCUAGUGGGAUUGGAAAAAGAUGAUCAUCAUAUAGUAAUUUAAAUCAUCCACAAUUUCUCAAAAACACAAUCUGACUGUGUUUUCAAUCCUCUCUUAGCCUACAAGACACUUGUCGCCGGCCGGUGCCGCCAUGAUUGUUCUGCUACCACUUUGAUUCGAGAUUUGUUCAGAGAGAGAUGGAAAUUGAACACUUUAGUCAUGAACAUUUAUUGAUCCUUGAGGAAGAGUACAACGAUGAUGCCUUGGAAGUCACAUGCUAUGUAUGUCAGCAACCAGCCUCUGGUGCUUGUUACAAGUGCAAACAUUGUAAGAAUUUCUCCUUGCACAAAGUUUGUGCAGAAUUACCUAGAGAUGGAACAUCCUAUACAUGCUCAACACCCUCUUGUUUUGCUUCUAAAUCCCCCUCAGUUGGAUUGCGAAUGCAGUGCUUGAUAACGGCCUUAUGAGGGCAUCACCUUCAGUUGUUCCCAUUGCAAGUUCUAUCUUGAUGUAUUGUGUGCUUUGAUGGCAUGGAAGAUUGAACACAAAUGCCACAAACACCCAUUGACUCCCCUUCAGAGGCCAACUUUGUUUUUGUGCGAUGCUUGUGGCACCAGACAUGAAGGCACAUCCUAUGAAAAUACCACUUGCCAAUUCUGGGUCAACCAAAAAUAUUCUUUAUUACCCGAGCACCAUUAAUUAUAGUGACAACCAUCUCCUUCUUAACCUCACCUAUUCUUUUCUUUAUGAACAUUUCAGAUUCACGUCCUAUUACAAAAUCUGCACUAAAAACAUUGAGAGAGCAUACUGGGCUUAUUAUUGUGCCCAAUGCAAAUAUUUUGCCCAUGUAAAUUGCUUGACAUCGAAGGCAAAGCUCUACAGAUUUGACCUUUUAGCUUCAUUUUUUUUUUAAAAACCUAUUUUAUUGUUGUUGUAUUUACUAUUAUUUGAUUUUCAUUCUUAAUUUUGUCAUCUCAA